CGUAGGGUGCGAGCGUUAAUCGGAAUUACUGGGCGUAAAGUGUGCGCAGGUGGCCGCGCAAGUCGAGUGUGAAAUCCCCGAGCUUAACUUGGGAAUUGCGCUCCAAACUACGUGGCUCGAGUGUGGCAGAGGAAGGUGGAAUCCCACGUGUAGCGGUGAAAUGCGUAGAGAUGUGGAGGAACACCGAUGGCGAAGGCAGCCUUCUGGGCCAACACUGACGCUCAUGCACGAAAGCGUGGGGAGCAAACAGGAUUAGAUACCCUGGUAGUCCACGCCCUAAACGAUGAUGACUAGUUGUUGGGGGAGUUAAAUCCCUUAGUAACGCAGCUAACGCGUGAAGUCAUCCGCCUGGGGAGUACGGUCGCAAGAUUA
rnacentral:rRNA from 1 species